rnacentral:lncRNA from 1 species
UUUAGGCAACUACCCUAAAGGGAAAUAAAACUAAGUGAGAUUCCACAUGGUCUCAGUAAUACCUGUAGUGCAAAAUCAAAUGCUUAUAGGGAGUGAAACAGAAUGCGGCCGAUACCUGUGGAAAAGAGUGCUUCAAUUGUCUUAUGUCUACGACCAGCCUAAGCUCAUAGCCAUACAAAUAUAUAUACCAUACAUGUGCUGAAACUAAGUUAAAUUUCUUGUUUUUAAUUGUCUUAAGUAUCAAACUUGGAUCAUCAGAACAUGUUGGAAAAACACGGCUCUGAAGCCAACUUAUUAAGCACCUGUGCUGUAUCGAACAUUUUACAUUUGUUCAUUUAACAUAUCUAGAUAAAUCUACUCAUUUACAGCUAUAGUGAUCCAAGAUUUCAUCACAGCAGAUUAAAACAAAACCUUUAAGUUAAAAAUAAUUUAAAAUCAGUGAAUAUAUUAAUACUAUGAGAGUCUUUGCCUAUGAGAAUACAGAACUUUGGCCCAAAUGUUUCAUUAAUCUACAGGGUUAUAUACAUUUGGAGCACAGUUUUGUUGUUUGUUUGUUUGUUUUUAAUCCUCUUCCCAAAAAUGGGUUUCUUUAGGCAGCUCGAGACUCCUGUGUUAGACAAGAGGAAAAGGAGUGGGUGCCUCUCGACUGGGACCAGUGGACAUUAUUAUGGGAAUAUACCAGUGGUGGCAGGUUGAUGACCUUAUCUCCCUGCAGGGUAGUAUUUCUCUCUGGGCUCUCAGCAGGUCUGCCUGUCACUGCCACCCAGAAGUGGAGCCACCUUCUGAAGCCCAAACCGAGGAGGGAGAGCCCAGGGUCCUCUGAAGCCCAAACCGAGGAGGGAGAGCCCAGGGUCCUCAGGCGCCUCGCAGCAGGAGGCCAGGAGUUCACCCACAGUGUCUAGUUCCUUGUUAUCUUUCUUUUUCCCUCCAUUGGCACAAAGCCACCUAGAAAAAAAAAGGAGUAUUAAUUCAUCCCUCUAUUCACACAAGAAGACAACAUAUUGUUUAAAUAAGAAAGGAGCAUGAUUUCCCGAAUCUUCAGCAAGACCUUGAAUACAGUUUCCAAAGUAGGCCUGCUGUAAAAGUUCUGUGGAUUAUUAUAAACUGCAGGUAGUUAAGAGUGUGUGUUUUUAUCUUGAGUAUGUAGCUGGUGACUUUUUAAAAAAAUUAAAAUGCCUCUGUGUUCCUGAAAGCUGAGUAAAU